CCUACGGGAGGCUGCAGUGAGGAAUCUUCGUCAAUGGGCGAGAGCCUGAACCAGCCAAGUCGCGUGACCGAUGAAGGCCCUACGGGUUGUAAACUUCUUUUGUCAGGGAGCAAUUGGGUCCACGCGUGGGCUUAGCGAGAGUACCUGAUGAAUAGGCAUCGGCUAACUCCGUGGCAGCAGCCGCGGUAAUACGGAGGGGGCAAGCGUUAUUCGGAAUUACUGGGCGUAAAGAGCGCGUAGGCGGGGUAGCAAGUCAGAUGUGAAAUCCUAUGGCUUAACCAUAGAACUGCAUUUGAAACUGUGAUUCUAGAGGAUGGGAGAGGAAGGUGGAAUUCUUGGUGUAGGGGUAAAAUCCGUAGAGAUCAAGAGGAAUACUCAUUGCGAAGGCGACCUGCUAGAAUAUAACUGACGCUGAGGCGCGAAAGCGUGGGGAGCAAACAGGAUUAGAUACCCGAGUAGUC
rnacentral:rRNA from 1 species